AUGGAACACGUUGAGAAUCCUGUUGAGGGUGACAAUGAAACUCCUAUAAGGAGUAAGAGACAGAGGACUGCAAAGUCCUUUGGUGAUGAUUUCAUUGUGUACCUUGUGGAUGACACACCCAGGACUAUUUCAGAAGCCUAUACAUCUCCUGCUGCUGACUACUGGAAGGAAGCUGUUCGUAGCGAGAUGGAUUCCAUCUUAGCUAACGGAACCUAA
rnacentral:rRNA from 1 species